AAAGGAAUAGACGGGGCCCCGCACAAGCAGCGGAGCGUGUGGUUUAAUUCGAUGCUACACGAAGAACCUUACCAGGGUUUGACAUGCUAGUGGUAGGAAACCGAAAGGUGACCGACCCUUCGGGGAGCUAGCACAGGUGCUGCAUGGCUGUCGUCAGCUCGUGUCGUGAGAUGUUCGGUUAAGUCCGCUAACGAGCGCAACCCUCGCUGUGUGUUAUAAGUGUCACACGGAACUGCCGGUCUUAAGCCGGAGGAAGGUGGGGAUGACGUCAAGUCAGCAUGGCCUUUAUGUCCUGGGCUACACACACGCUACAAUGGCCAGCACAAUAGGUUGCGAAACCGCAAGGUGGAGCCAAUCCUCAAAGUUGGCCUCAGUUCAGAUUGUAGGCUGCAACUCGCCUGCAUGAAGAUGGAGUUGCUAGUAAACGCGCGUCAGCUAUAGUGCGUUGAAUACGUUCCCGGGGCUUGUACACACCGCCCGU
rnacentral:rRNA from 1 species